rnacentral:rRNA from 1 species
CGAAGGGGCGUAGCGUUGCUCGGAAUCACUGGGCGUAAAGGGACGGCGUAGGCGGACAAUUAAAGUCAGGGGUGGAAAUCCCGGGGCCGUCAACCUCGGAAUUGCCUUUGAUACUGGUUGUCUUGAGAUCGGAAGAGGUAAGUGGAAUUGCGAGUGUAGAGGUGAAAUUCGUAGAUAUUCGCAGGAACACCAGUGGCGAAGGCGACUUACUGGUCCGUAUCUGACGCUGAGGCGCGAAAGCGUGGGGAGCAAACAGGAUU